GGGAACAAGGAUGUACUCGGGAUCCUGUCGCCGAGAGAAAAAGUAAAGGGCACUGUCGCUCGGCACCAGGUUUUCAGGGGUCGUAACUACGAGGCAGAAACCCGAGUCGGGUCCACAGGAAGGGAGGAAGGGACUCGGGUCACUCCGCCGAGGCUUUCCCACGGUCGCUCCACCGUCUCCUUAACACCGGGAAACAGAAACACCCGUGGCGAGGAGCUGUCAGACAAAAGGGCAAGGAAGGAAGCUACAAAUCCUUUUCAAAAGGCAGAGAAAAGAAGUGAACAGCAACAACAAGAAGGAAAAAAAGGAAAAAGGAUUUACAAAAUGGAGAAAAUAGAGACAGCAGAAAUCUUAUGGGACUGGAGAUGUCGGAGGGAUUUGGCCAGGUACUUCCAGUUUGGCAGAGAAUUACAUUUGCUCACUGCUCUGUGCAGGGCAUGGAAGGGCCUUUGGAAAGAAAUGUGGUGGUGCUCUUUGCAAUUGGAUGAACAAUUUGUGGAGAAAAUUUUGAUGCAUUGCUACUUUUCUUCAGGGUAAAAUACUACUUAAAAAAUCAGGCAUGUAAAUACAUUUUAAGACAUUUAUUUUUCUUGUGACCUGGUUGUUUUUUUUUUUUUUGACCAACAUUGUUAUGAUUCCCACUAGCUCUCACAUAAAACUUUGCCUAAGUAAAUCUCAGUGCGCUUUAAGUUCUCAUUGUAUAUUUGUUGUCAGAGGUUCACUGCUGAACUCACCAUUGUGCACGUGUAUGUUUGUGUGAACAGAGGAGUCUCAACCUCAUAACAUAGGAAAUGUGAACCAAGAGUUUGAUAACACUUUUAUAAACAAGUAGCAGAAUGGGAGUAUCAGAAAUAUAGAAAUAAUUUUUAUUAAAAAAAUAUGUAUGUAAAAAUGUUAGUAGAUAACAGAAUACAAUGUACAUGAAUUUUGCACAUAUUCUCUAUUAAAAAAAACCCAAACCAAACCAAACCAAAAACCCAAAAGACUAAUUUUCUCUCAAAAUCCUGGUUAAAGGAACAACUAAAUUGUAUAUUAUUUAUGUUUAUACAUAUACUCUCACUUACUGCUUGCUAUUUUGUACAGGUACCAUAAAAGUGAUAAUAUUUACAGCCAGAGCUUUUUGGAAAUGUUUCCACAGAAUAUCUUUACACUGGAAAAUUGCUGAUUCACAAAGAAAUUCUACAGAUGGAAAAGUUGUAAUGAAAUGGUUUUAAAGGAAAUAUACAGAAUAAUUUUGCUAAAAUCAAACCUAU
rnacentral:lncRNA from 1 species